GGUAGGGAGGGGCUGAGGACGCUGACGGCCGGGCUGGAGCUCCCUCCACUCCAGUAGCUGUGUCUCCCAGCAUUAUUUCUUCUUCAUCUUUAUCGUCGUCGUCACCACCAUCAGCUGCAGCAGCAUCACAAACUUCUCUAUUUCGUGAGCAGCUACUUUGUGCCAGGCCCUGGGCUAAUCUUUUGGAAGACAGGGAUGAAGACAGACAUGGUCCCCCGCCGUUGCUGGCACACAGUCCAGGCAGGGAGACAGACUUGGGAGAUUUAACCGCACAAAUACUUAAUUACUUGUGCUGGGUCUGCAGGAGUACAGCAUGAGGCUCUGAGACAGGGAAGGAGACUGUGGCUAUUUCUGAGCUAAGGACAGACAUACAAUGUAGACAAAUGGACUGGAAUCUCUGAAAUUCAAAGAGUGACUUUGAGGGGUGCGAUGGGAAAAUCCAGAACCCUUCCUGUGCAAAUCUCUUCAUUCUCCUCCAAAAGAAAUUUGUCCAGAGAGGUUUGGGGACUUGCCAGAAGUCACACAGCAAGUCAGAGGAAGCUGGUACGAGGAGGCAGCCCGGGAGGUUAAACGCCCCGGGGACUGGGCCUGAGUCUUCUGCCUUCUAGCUGCACCGCCAUCCUCUGUCUCUCUCUCACACACACACACCCCUCUCAUCCCGCCCUGCACACAGUGGUGUGAGGAAGAGUUCCAGGGGCAAAGACGUCUCAUGCCCAGUGUCUCCCUCGAUGUGGCAGAGCCCAGCCCUUCACCUCCUUGCAAAAGUCUUCUCCCUGAGAUGUUUCCCCAUCACUGUAAAAGCGGCACAAAACACCCGACUUGUGGGGUAGUCCUGGCAGAAAAACCAAAGAUGAUGGACCUGAAACCAGUGUUUUACAAGCAGGAGAGGUGUCUGUGUGAGUCACUUUCUCUUCAAUACUGUGCAAUACUGUGGGACGACCAGGAGCCAUCUGUGGACAGCCAUUGGGUGCCAACCGGGGCACAGCUGCCAGUGCGGGAGCUCUUUCGUCUUCUUCCUGCCUGGAAUGCAGACAUGAGGCCCAGAGGUUCGGCAGCCAUAUUGUGUCCAUGAGGCAGCAAUGUGCAUUUUCAAGGCCUCCCUGCUGAGGAUAGUGAGAAGGAAGAUAGAAAGAGCCAGGGUACCUGGUGGCAUCUAUAAACCUCUAUACCAACCCCUGAUUUCUCACCACCCCCACCCCCCAGUUUGUCA
ensembl:lncRNA